AUAUUGGAAAUGAAUUAUUUAGCCAUUUUAUUCAAUAUAUUUCUUCUUUGCUGCUCAAUAUAUUGUGUCUCAGGUUCUCAGGAGUGCUCGUCAUUUUUUCUUGAUCGUUAUUGUGGUAAGAUAACUAUUUUCACGCCUUAAAAUUUAUUAUAACAAAGAUUAUAUGAUCGUUAUACAUUUAAAAAGUUAAUACUCUAUAAUUAAUUUUAGCAUUAAAAAAUGGACGAUCUGCAGUGGAAUGUGGAAGAAGAUUUAAUAUCUCUAGACCGUUUGAAGUUUUUGAAAAUUGCUACGAUUCAAAUAAUCCAGAUGAAAAACGUUUGGGAACAGCAGAAAAACUCGAAAGAUUGUGUACAGUUCUUGAUCCUGACAUAUAUAAUGCUGUGAAACAAUGUUACCAAACAUCAGCAUACAUUGACUUGAAACAAACUAAAACAGUAUUUAAAAUAACUGAGAUUUGUAUUUCUCGUGUUGAAAUGAAAGAAGGAAAGUACUGUGGCCUUGGAGGACUUUUUAAUCUUCUUCAUCGUAUUCAUCAUCAUUACUAUC